rfam:Ictidomys tridecemlineatus contig117226, whole genome shotgun sequence.
AAGAAAGUCACAAUGGUUAUAGGGCUGGCUUAAAACUAGUUUUGGGAAGUUCAAUUCUUCCCUUUCUUG